rnacentral:rRNA from 1 species
AGAAUCAACGCUGGCGGCGUGCCUCAGACAUGCAAGUCGAACGAUUAAACUUUCCUUCGGGAAAGAUAUAAAGUGGCGCACGGGUGAGUAACACGUAAGUAAUCUACCUUCGAGUGGGGAAUAACGUCCGGAAACGGACGCUAAUACCGCAUAAUGCAGCGGCAUCGCAAGAUGACAGUUGUUAAAGGAAUUUAUUUCGCUUGAAGAGGAGCUUGCGGCAGAUUAGCUUGUUGGUAAGGUAACGGCUUACCAAGGCUACGAUCUGUAACCGGUCUAAGAGGACGGUCGGUCACACUGACGACUGAAUAACGGGUCAGACUCCUA